AUUCCAUUGGGCAUUCCAGAAUACAUCUUAUUAUGUCCUACAAGAAUUCCCUUUCAGCAAAAUAUCUCUUGCUGAAGAUCAAGUGUGUGUGCUGCCGAAGUGAACACAGCAAGACCUUCGCUUCAGCGCAGGGUCUGGCACAGAAUGGGCCAUCGCCCAAAAAUUGAGGAAAUUUCUACAUCUAAGAAAAUGGAACCAUUUUUGGAUCAAAAUAUCUGUAAAACUGCAAUCUGAGCAGAUGUAAGCAUUGAUAAACCAGACCACAUUUCAGCCUUUAAAUACAGGCCACAGACAUACAGCCAGGAGCUCCCUUUGGUGAUCUUUCCUCUGGGUGAAAGAGUUGACAGCAAAGAAAGUCCUCAGUUCUGACACGUUUACCAGCUCACUCUUGUCUCUGAGCCUGCGGUUUGCCUGACACACUGAACAAGUCCACAAGGCUUCAGAGAAUCUGAGAUAUUCCUGGGAAAAGGCCUCCUGAUUACUCUACAAAUCCUUUUGGAUUCUUGUUCUUAGAACGAUUGCACAAUUAGCUGUCAGAGAGACAGGGAUAACCUCCCAGUAAGAGUCAGGCGUCUGAAUUCUGCAUGAACAAAGUCGAGGGGAAAAACCAACCCUGUACCAGAUUUACGAGAAGAGUUACCUUUAUAAAAUCUAUAUGAACUAGAAAGUGAUGCAGAUGAAGGGGAGGCUGCUUGAUAAAACUAAAGCCUGCAGUUCUCAAAGAGAUGCCUUUAGAAGUGCGGUUCAAUUUUAAGUUUCCCACAUCGUGCUAAUUAGAACAUACAUUCCAAUUAGAAUUAGAUUGCACUUCAGGAAGUGAAUUAUUAAGUGACCCAGCACAUUUUGAUGUUUUCAAAUGCCCAAACUCCCAGCUUUGGAGGACAAUGAGCCUUUAAUGAUAAUUUAUUCCCCUCUUGUCCCCAUUAUUGCUACAUAGCUGGGAGCCCUAGAUUCUUGCUGGGCUCUGGAGACCCAGUGCAGACGUUUCUAGAGGAGGAUACCAAUUAGCCAGCUUGGUUUCACAAAGAAGCAAAGAUUGCCCUGAGGUGCAAACUCUGCCUUAGAGGGAACACCCUUGAAUUUUAACCAUCUUUAUUGCUAAUGAUUCGAAGUCAGCACAGAAUUCGGCCUUUCCCUCACCAUUUCAUUAUCUCCACUCCUGGAUUUAAAAACACAUACUUUCUUCCUUAUGAAGGUGACGAUAAAGACAGGCAAUUCACUAUGUACAUAAAAGCAAGUGACCACUUUCUGCUAGUUUUGAUAGUACUUCUACUGCUUCCAAAAAUUGCUUUAGGUAACCUAAUGUGGAAUGCCCCUGGGGAUAAGCCUCUGAAGAUUUUGCACAAGGCCCUUCAUAGAGUUUUCAGGACAGCGUAAUUACUCGGGGCUCCCUGAAAGUGACGAGCAGCAGCCUCAAGUUUUCUGAAUAAUAUAUUCUUGCAUGUUUGACUCAUAUAUAGAUAAAAAGAACAAAAAGUCAAUCACCAUCUAAACCACAAUUUUAUUCUUUUUUUCAUUCAUUUAAUUACUUCAUUGAACACAUUUUUGAGAUUCUCUUAUGUACCAGGCACUGUACUAGGCACCUGGGCUCUUAUCAGCAGACAGCACAGUUCUACCUAUUUAGACGCUCCCAUUCGGGAGGGGCUGGUGGGUGGGGCAGGCAGAGAGGGGCGUGGAGAAUGGUGAAGCAGCAGAUCAUUAAUUCCGGAAAGUGCUAGCUCUGUGCACCUGAGGAGGCCAUGGAAGGUUUGUCUAUUGUCUUGAGCAUUUCGUUUUUCUCAGCAUCAGGGGUCUGUACAUUCUACCUUUCUUCUGAAUCUCACAACGCUUAAGCACUUUGUGGCGGUAUAGUGAAUUCGGUUACUUAAUAUUGACUGGUGGAAGAUGAGAAGAAACUUUUCCUUUGCUUGGAAGAAAGCAACCAUUUUUGAGUUUGCAAAAAUCAAUAUUUAGUCAUAAAAGCACUCCUACAGUAAUAUAUCCCAACUUGUGGAAGCUCAGACUCCAGAGCCAGAUUGUCUGGGUUUGAAACCCGAGCUCUACUGUUACUAAAUGUGUGACGCUGGCAAAUUGCUCAGCUCUCUGUUCCUCAAUUCCUUCAUAAGUAGAAUGGAAACUUCAUAGGAUAAAUACGUAUGUGUGUAUAUAAAUUUAUGGAGUUAUUAUGAAGAUAAAAUAAUUAGCAUAUUUAACAGUACUGGAAUACAGUGUUAG
ensembl:lncRNA